CCUACGGGGGGCAGCAGUCGAGAAUCAUUCACAAUGGGGGAAACCCUGAUGGUGCAACGCCGCGUGGGGGAAUGAAGGUCUUCGGAUUGUAAACCCCUGUCAUGUGGGAGCAAAUUAAAAAGAUAGUACCACAAGAGGAAGAGACGGCUAACUCUGUGCCAGCAGCCGCGGUAAUACAGAGGUCUCAAGCGUUGUUCGGAAUCACUGGGCGUAAGGCGUGCGUAGGCUGUUUCGUAAGUCGUGUGUGAAAGGCGCGGGCUCAACCCGCGGACGGCACAUGAUACUGCGAGACUAGAGUAAUGGAGGGGGAACCGGAAUUCUCGGUGUAGCAGUGAAAUGCGUAGAUAUCGAGAGGAACACUCGUGGCGAAGGCGGGUUCCUGGACAUUAACUGACGCUGAGGCACGAAGGCCAGGGGAGCGAAAGGGAUUAGAUACCCGGGUAGUC
rnacentral:rRNA from 1 species